UUUGUUAACUGCUGAUAGAAAUGUUGUGAUGCAUUUGGGUGCUUGACUGUUGAUAAGGAAUACGUUUAGUAACUCGUGCAAGUUUAAUAGAACCCAGUGUAAAAGAUGGGCAUGUAAACUCUAAGGAUCACGUGGUCAAUCUGUGAGGUAUAUUAUAGAAAUUCAGAGAGCUUUUGUCAUUAAUAACAGUGUGUCUUUCUAUUUAAAAUUAAUAAAACCAGGCGAAUGCUUCUUUUAGCUCCCAUAUUCCGAAUAUAAGAAUUUGAAACUUACGGUUGACUUUCCGCCGUAUAU